rnacentral:sRNA from 10 species
GAGGUUGUGAGGAAAAACGCGCUCAGGGGGUGGAAACAAGGUCACACUCCCAAAAGACGUUUUGGA